GGCUUCCUCGGGGCAUAAAGUUUGGACUCUAAUUCACUUUUCACUCUGGAUAGUUAAGAUUGAUUUGCCCCAGGGGCUUUGGGGAGGAUGGCUCUUGUGUCAACAUGGCAGGAUAGUACCCAGGCUGCAGGGUCACCUCUGAAGCCCCUCGGUUAUAAAUAGCUUCAAAACUGCCUUAACAGCUGGCAGUCGGCCAAUGGAGAGGAAAACAGAUUGAGGUGAGCUGCAGGAAGUAGAUCACGGUAGGAAGGAGGAGACCUAAGAGGAAAGAGUCAUAUGGAAAAAUAAACAAGGGCAUUUUAGGGUACCAGAAGAGAAAAGCAGUAUUUCCAUGUUGCUAUUUUAGUAUUAGGCUUCUCGACCAUUCCACUCUCUCUACCCCGUACCUGUCGAGGAAAGGAAGAGCCGGCGGGAGUCAGUGAGGCUGAGUUAGCAGACCCUAUUAAAGGAAGAAAGAGGAAGAAGAAGAAGCAUUUGUUAAAUGCCUAUCUUAUACCAGGCACCAUGAAGGAAGAACUAAGGAUGAGUUUUGAAGAAGUCAAGAAUAACCUGUUUAUGUCAAUAAAGUGGCCAUAGCAAAUGUAUGCAUGGCAUUAAAUUACUUUUUUUUUCUUUUGUGAACUCAAACUUUAAAACAUUGAAGAUUCA
rnacentral:lncRNA from 1 species